GGCAACAUGGCCGAGAGGCCGCGGCCUCCGGGCGGCGCCGUGUCUGCGACCGCCUACCCCGACACCCCUGCGGAAUUCCCUCCGCACCUCCUGGCGGGUGCGAUGCGGCGCCGCUUUUGGGGCGUAUUCAACUGCCUGUGCGCCGGCGCGUUCGGGGCCCUGGCCGCCGCCUCCGCCAAGCUGGCCUUCGGCAGCGAGGCGGUAAGAGACGUCGGGGACUGAGGCCUCCUCCCUUACCAGGGACCUAAAACCUUUUCUCCGGUUGGGCUAGUUCGCUCUCAGGGAAGACCUACACCUCCUACAUCCACCCUCUACCUCUCAUUUUAAGUCCCUUGUGCCUGAACAUUUCUCUCCACGUGACUCUUAAGGUGAGCAUGGGUUUAUGCGUCUUAGGCAUUAUUGUGAUGGCGAGCACCAAUUCUCUGAUGUGGACCUUCUUUAGCCGGGGCCUCAGUUUCUCCAUGUCUUCAGCCAUUGCAUCUGUCACAGUGACUUUUUCAAAUAUCCUCAGCUCGGCCUUUCUGGGCUAUGUGCUGUAUGGAGAGUGCCAGGAGGUCUUGUGGUGGGGAGGAGUGUUCCUCAUUCUCUGCGGACUCACCCUGAUCCACAGGAAACUUCCACCCACCUGGAAGCCCCUUCCACACAAGCAGCAGUAGCACCACUUGGCUGAACGGACCAGCUGGAAAGAUCACGAUGGUGGCCCAGCCUUGGGAUGGCUUGUGGGAUUAUGUCCUACGGCGACCCAGUUGUGCAGCCUUCUGACCAUCAGCCAAGGGAAGCAGGCCUCUGACGGAGCAGGCUUGAGGGUGGACAACUCUGGCUCCUUAAGGAGAGGUGCAGCCGCAGCAAUGUUCUACUGGAAGCGUUUUGAUCAUCUGUACAGUGCUUUGGAUUCUUGCUCCCAGGCCCACCCCAGCGAGCCUUCACAGAUGCUGGAGAUCCUGGGGUUGGUCUGCUAUGUGUAUGGUACUUGAAACCACGCUGUAAUUAUCCUGUUGCCAAACAAAAGCCAGUCAUGUAACUAGAAGCAGUGACUGGUGGGGCCUUCUGACAAUUCCAUGCUGAUGUAUCAGGCCAUUUGUGUCAUGCUUAUGUAUUAUGGCAAGAAGAGGAAAACUGGGUGAAUAAAUACUUUUUUUUUGUAAGUUAAAACUA